UUCGGCUAUCGCUUACAGAUGGGCCCGCGGUGCAUUAGCUAGUUGGUAGGGUAAUGGCCUACCAAGGCAACGAUGCAUAGCCGACCUGAGAGGGUGAUCGGCCACACUGGGACUGAGACACGGCCCAGACUCCUACGGGAGGCAGCAGUAGGGAAUCUUCCGCAAUGGACGAAAGUCUGACGGAGCAACGCCGCGUGUAUGAAGAAGGUUUUCGGAUCGUAA
rnacentral:rRNA from 1 species